CAAGUAAGCCAGACAAUCGCUGCUGUCAAUUUGGCAGGAGAGGAAAGUCCGAGCUCCAUAGGGCAGGGUGCCGGGUAAUACCCGGUCAGGGUAACUUGAAGGAAAGUGCAACAGAGAUAUACCGCCUAAUUUUUAGGUAAGGAUGGAAAGGCGAGGUAAGAGCUCACCAGCGCAUUGGCGACUUUGCGGCUAUGUAAACCCCACUUGGAGCAAGAUCGAAUAGGGAAGCAUUUCGGGGCGGCCCGUCCCGCUUCCGGGUAGUAUCGCUUGAAUCUUAUGGUAACGUAAGAUCUAGAUAGAUGAUUGUCUAACACAGAACUCGGCUUAUAGGUUUACUCGCCCA
rnacentral:RNase_P_RNA from 2 species